rnacentral:tRNA from 1 species
GGCUAGGUAGCUCACCUGGUUAGAGCGGAGGUCUCAUAAUCCUCAGGUAGUCGGUUCGAGUCCGACCCUAGCCA